rnacentral:rRNA from 1 species
CCAGACUCCUACGGGAGGCAGCAGUGAGGAGUAUUGGUCAAUGGCCGAGAGGCUGAACCAGCCAAGUCGCGUGGGGGAUGACGGCCCUACGGGUUGUAAACCUCUUUUGUCGGGGAGCAAAGAGAGUCACGUGUGGCUCAUUGAGAGUACCCGAAGAAAAAGCAUCGGCUAACUCCGUGCCAGCAGCCGCGGUAAUACGGAGGAUGCGAGCGUUAUCCGGAUUUAUUGGGUUUAAAGGGUGCGUAGGCGGAAUAUCAAGUCAGCGGUAAAAAUUCGGGGCUCAACCCCGUCGUGCCGUUGAAACUGAUGUUCUUGAGUGGGCGAGAAGUAUGCGGAAUGCGUGGUGUAGCGGUGAAAUGCAUAGAUAUCACGCAGAACUCCGAUUGCGAAGGCAGCAUACCGACGCUCAACUGGCGCUGAAGCACGAAGGCGUGGGUAUCGAACAGGAUUAGAUACCCUAGUAA